rnacentral:rRNA from 1 species
UACGUAGGGUGCAAGCGUUGUCCGGAAUUAUUGGGCGUAAAGAGCUCGUAGGCGGUCUGUCGCGUCUGCUGUGAAAACUCGGGGCUUAACCCCGGGCCUGCAGUGGGUACGGGCAGACUAGAGUGCGGUAGGGGAGACUGGAAUUCCUGGUGUAGCAGUGAAAUGCGUAGAUAUCAGGAGGAAUACGAUGGCGAAGGCAGGUCUCUGGGCUGACACUGACGCUCAUGCA